AUUCCUUGUGGACUAAUGGAGAUGGGGUGGAAUUGAUUUCCUGAUACUUCUGGGUGGGUAAAGCAAGCUUCAGCUGGAGAGAAAGCCCUCCAGCAAAGACAUGCAGGUGCUUUGGUACAAAUGGAGCUGGAUCAUGCCUAUAAUCCCAGCACUUUGGGAAGCUGUGGCGGGAGGAUUGCCUGAGCCCAGGAGUUUGAGGCUGCGACUCAGUGGCUUGUCCCCAUUUCUAGGGGAAACAGAUGCAGAGACCAUGAAUUUCAUUGUAAACUGUAGCUGGGAUUUUGAUGCUGACACCUUUGAAGGGCUCUCGGAGGAGGCCAAGGACUUCGUUUCCCGGUUGCUGGUCAAAGAGAAGAGCUGCAGAAUGAGUGCCACACAGUGCCUGAAACACGAGUGGCUGAAUAAUUUGCCUGCCAAAGCUUCAAGAUCCAAAACUCGUCUCAAAUCCCAACUACUGCUGCAGAAAUACAUAGCUCAAAGAAAAUGGAAGAAACAUUUCUAUGUGGUGACUGCUGCCAACAGGUUAAGGAAAUUUCCAACUUCUCCCUAAUCUUCAACUCUG
rnacentral:sRNA from 1 species